CUUGGAGUGAGAUGGGAUGCUUGGAGUGAGAUGGGAUGCUUGGAGUGAGAUGGGAUGCUUGGAGGGAGAUGGGAUGCUUGGAGUGAGAUAGGAUGCUUGGAGUGAGAUGGGAUGCUUGGAGUGAGAUGGGAUGCUUGGAGUGAGAUGGGAUGCCUGGAGGGAGCUGGAGUGCUCAGAGGAAGGUGCACGGGGGCAGAGGAGGUGCUGGGAGCCCAAGUGUGUGCUCAGGGACCGUGUCCAUGCUCUGACCCCUUCCCCUUUGUCUCCCUCCUCAUCAGGAAUCCCGCGGCCGCCGCACCCCUCGGAGCUGCCCCCCUAUUACCCCCUGUCACCGGGAGCCGUGGGGCAGAUCCCGCACCCGCUGGGCUGGCUCGUGCCGCAGUAAGGAUGGGCCGUGUGCCGCGAGCCCCUUCUCUUCCCACUUCAUCCCAUUAUCCAUGCAGUGGGAUGGGAAGAGAUGGGGAGAUGGAGACGGGUCCCAGGGGCUGGGCAGGGAUGACUUCUCCACUGAAGCUGCUGUGUUUGCAGGCAAGGGCAGCCCGUGUACUCCAUCCCUCCCGGCGGCUUCCGGCAUCCCUACCCUGCCCUCGCCAUGAACGCCUCCAUGUCCAGUUUGAUGUCCAGCCGCUUCUCCCCACACAUGGUCCCCCCCCCGACCCAUGGGCUGCACCCCUCGGGCAUCCCCCAUCCCACCAUCGUCUCACCCAUCGUGAAGCAGGAGCCCACCCAGCCCAGCGUCAGCCCCGGAGGCAACACGUGAGUGUGGGGCAGGAGCUCAUCCCCUGUGUG
rnacentral:lncRNA from 14 species